UCCUCUGCUAUGACAAAAGCACCUCUGCUAUGACAAAAGGCUGAAAGAACUGGGAUUGUUGAGCCUGGAGAAAAGAUUUAAGAGUUCCUUAGUUCCAGCCUUCCACUACCUGAAGAGAUCAUAAGAAAGAUAGAAAGGAGGGACUUUUUACAAGAGCAUGUAACACAACAUGUAACAUGUAACAAGAGCAUGUAACACGACAAGGGGGAGGGGCUUCAAACUGAAAGAGAGUAGGUUUAGAUCAUAUAUUAGGGAGGAAUUCCUUGUUGUGAUGGUGGUGAGGCACCAGAACAGGUCACUGGGAGAAGUUGUGGGUGUCCCCUCCCUCAAAAUGUUCAAGGCCCUGUUGGACAGGAUCUUGGAAAACCUGGUGUAGUGGAAGGUGUUCCCAACCAUGGCAGAGCAGCUGGAGCUAGGUGGAGAAGAGCGAGGGGGGAAAAUGAAAAUAAAAGAGAUACUAUAGUUCUGAUGUUUAUUUGGGAUGUAAGUCUGUCUCAUAAAACAACACACAGAAGGACAAAUACUACAGACAAAAACUUCAGAGGCAGAACAAAGCAGAGUUAAAUAGAUUUCUCAUAGCAGUUAAAUUCUUUCUUUACAAAAUGUAAGCAUCCUUGACUGGCAAAUGAAGUGUUGUGAAAGAAAAGAAAUUGAUAGAAAACAGUGCCUUCCAACUGAAUUGUUAAAAAACGGUUUCUUCAACAUGAUUUACUCACUCAAAAGAAGUGACUCGUACAUCCCAAAGUUGUG